CCUACGGGGGGCUGCAGUAAGGAAUAUUGGUCAAUGGAGGAAACUCUGAACCAGCCAUCCCGCGUGAAGGAUGAAGGGGCUCUGCCUUGUAAACUUCUUUUGUCUGGGGCGAAAAAGCUCGAUUUAUCGAGAACUGACGGUACCAGAAGAAUAAGCACCGGCUAACUCCGUGCCAGCAGCCGCGGUAAUACGGAGGGUGCAAGCGUCACUGGGAAUCACUGGUUUGUAGGGGGCUGUAUAAGUCAGUGGAGAAAGGCUGUGGCUUAACCAUGGAAUUGCCAUUGAUACUGCAGAGCUUGAAUGAGGUUGAGGUUGGCGGAAUGUGACAUGUAGCGGUGAAAUGCUUAGAGAUGUCAUGGAACACCGAUUGCGAAGGCAGCUGACUGGACCUAUAUUGACGCUGAGGCACGAAAGCGUGGGGAGCGAACAGGAUUAGAUACCCUUGUAGUC
rnacentral:rRNA from 1 species